UACGUAGGGUGCGAGCGUUAAUCGGAAUUACUGGGCGUAAAGCGUGCGCAGGCGGUUUUGUAAGCCAGAUGUGAAAUCCCCGGGCUUAACCUGGGAAUGGCAUUUGGGACUGCAAGGCUUGAGUGCGGCAGAGGAGACUGGAAUUCCUGGUGUAGCGGUGAAAUGCGCAGAUAUCAGGAGGAACACCGAUGGCGAAGGCAGGUCUCUGGGCCACUACUGACGCUGAGAAGCGAAAGCAUGGGGAGCGAACAGG
rnacentral:rRNA from 1 species